GCAUUUAUACAUCAAGAUGGCUGCCCGCUGCGGCGCUGCUGCGGCUGCGCGUCAGUGCAUAUAUGUGGGGGCCCCCUCCGAGCACCACCAAGGGACCGACGCGCCACCUGGCGCACCACCACGCCGUGGCGAGCGUGAGGCGAGCUUAGGCGCUUAUCAGUCUCGGCCUGGCCGCCGAUCUGGACAGACCUUUCGGUCUUACGCCUUAUUGUUUUCUACAGUCGUUAAUAAUAUAAGUUGUUUGUCAUUACACGCCAAGUCAUCAUUUAUUAAACUGGUCUGUCCUAUUCCUGCCGUAUCUCCAAUCGGAGCACAGAAGGGACUCUUUCAUUUCCAAAUAUAUGCAUAGCAUUUGCGAGGGAAAAUCCGUUACUGUUACUGCACAUGUGCCUACGCCAUUACUAGAUGCACCACGCCGUGCAAUUUCUUAUACUUAAUACUUAAUUAAUUAAUACAUAAAAAUAAGAUCUUCAAAAAGUGAAUGUUUUAGAGAAUAGCAGCGUUUCUAGAGACAAAGGAAAUAUCAGAUCGGUCUCUUUCAAGCCACAGCUGGUCAUGAGAGCCCUAUAAAUAUAUAGUAUUAUUACGACAGUGAAAAGCAGUGUUUUUAGCUCCGACAUCCCCUUAAUAUGCAUUUCAUGUCCAUGUAUCGAGAAAGAUUGUGUAAAUAGCAAUUAAAUUGAUAUACAUUUAUAUUAUUAAUUUCAGAGCACCUCCUAAACGUUCUAAAUUCACUCCGGUAGUGCCACAUUUCGUGGAUCCAGAGUAACAUGAUGAUGCCAUAAUAUAACUAUUUAUUUUACUGCUAAAUUAUUUUAUAAAAUUGAGAAAUAAUCAUAAACUUUUGAAAUAA